CUCGCCGGCCAGGAUGCGGGUCUGGGGGGUAAUGCCCUCGGCCUGCCUGCCGGCCAGGAUGGCCUGUUCAAUCCCGGCCUGGCGUGAC
rnacentral:tRNA from 1 species